AGUGAACGCUGGCGGUAGGCCUAACACAUGCAAGUCGAACGGCAGCACAGUAAGAGCUUGCUCUUACGGGUUGCGGGUGGCGGACGGGUGAGGAAUACAUCGGAAUCUACUUUUUCGUGGGGGAUAACGAAGGGAAACUUACGCUACUACCGCAUACGACCUACGGGUGAAAGCAGUGGAUCUUCGGACCUUGCGCGAUUGAAUGAGCCGAUGUCGGAUUAGCUAGUGGGCGGGGUAAAGGCCCACCAAGGCGACGAUCCGUAGCUGGUCUGAGAGGAUGAUCAGCCACACUGGAACUGAGACACGGUCCAGACUCCUACGGGAGGCAGCAGUGGGGAAUAUUGGACAAUGGGCGAAAGCCUGAUCCAGCAAUACCGCGUGGGUGAAGAAGGCCUUCGGGUUGUAAAGCCCUUUUGUUGGGAAAGAAAAGCAGCAGGUUAAUACCCCGCUGUUCUGACGGUACCCAAAGAAUAAGCACCGGCUAACUUCGUG
rnacentral:rRNA from 1 species